rnacentral:lncRNA from 1 species
GUCAAUGCGUGCCCCCAGGAGUCGGUGCAGAGCCUGAAAAGCUAAGCAUUAUGAUUAUGUCAUACACAUGGCAAAGGUAGCCCAUCUGUGCUGCAGAGGUUACGUGCAGGCCUUCUCCUGUUAACUGAGUGACAACAAUGGGUGGAUCUCUGCCUCACAGUGCUCCCACCUGAGCAGUAUAUAGCGCACAGUAAUCGAUUUCCAUGAAAGAAAAUUUAAGAUGAACUUGGAGGCAACUUUCAGAUCCUCAAGUGAUGAAGACAAAUGAGAUUAUCCAUUGUUAACUAUUAUAUCCAGAUCCAAGAGAACUGAUCCAAGACAGCUCACAAGGGAUGGAAAGCAGAGCCUUCUACCACAACAAGACAUUUCUUUCCUUGACAUUAGUAAAAUAGGACAAGCUGUAACCGAAAUACACCCUACAACAAUAGGUCCCUUCAGAAGAAACCAAUUCUGGCUCUUCUCAGAGAACAAAUGCAGUAAGGAAGGGAGCGACAAGAAUGAGGGGAUGCCAAAGGAGGGGAAGGACUCCCACUUUUUUCACCUAUUAGCCCACACCACCUGCAAAUCUUACCCAGACAGUUCUGCUGACACUUGGAAGAUGGAAAUGUCAGAUUAAAGCAUAACAGAAAAUAUUUGCUACUUGUCAAUGCAAAAUACUACAUUCAGUUUUGGAAACCAUUUGCAAAGACAAUUUCAAUGUAAAUGCCCACCAAGUUUCAAGGA